GAGGAUGUAGCUCAGAUGGACAGAGUGCUUGUUUCCGAGACAAGUGGUCACAGGUUCAAACCCUGUCAUCCUCG
rnacentral:tRNA from 1 species